GGAUUGGUGCCUUCGGGAACUCUGACACAGGUGCUGCAUGGCUGUCGUCAGCUCGUGUCGUGAGAUGUUGGGUUAAGUCCGUAACGAGCGCAACCCUUGUCCUUAGUUACCAGCACGUUAUGGUGGGCACUCUAAAGGAGACUGCCGGGUGACAAAACCGGAGGAAAGGUGGGGGAUGACGUCAAGUCAUCAUGGCCCUUACGGCCUGGGCUACACACGUGCUACAAUGGUCGGUACAAAGGGUUGCCAAGCCGCGAGGUGGAGCUAAUCCCAUAAAACCGAUCGUAGUCCGGAUCGCAGUCUGCAACUCGACUGCGUGAAGUCGGAAUCGCUAGUAAUCGUGAAUCAGAAUGUCACGGUGAAUACGUUCCCGGCCUU
rnacentral:rRNA from 1 species